rnacentral:rRNA from 1 species
AUUGAACGCUGGCGGCAUGCCUUACACAUGCAAGUCGAACGGCAGCACGGACUUCGGUCUGGUGGCGAGUGGCGAACGGGUGAGUAAUGUAUCGGAACGUACCUUUCAGUGGGGGAUAACGUAGCGAAAGUUACGCUAAUACCGCAUAUUCUGUGAGCAGGAAAGCAGGGGAUCGCAAGACCUUGCGCUGAUUGAGCGGCCGAUAUCAGAUUAGCUAGUUGGUGGGGUAAAGGCCUACCAAGGCUACGAUCUGUAGCGGGUCUGAGAGGAUGAUCCGCCACACUGGGACUGAGACACGGCCCAGACUCCUACGGGAGGCAGCAGUGGGGAAUUUUGGACAAUGGGGGCAACCCUGAUCCAGCCAUGCCGCGUGAGUGAAGAAGGCCUUCGGGUUGUAAAGCUCUUUCGGCCGGGAAGAAAUCGCAUCAGCUAAUACCUGGUGUGGAUGACGGUACCGGAAUAAGAAGCACCGGCUAACUACGUGCCAGCCGCCGCAGUAA